rnacentral:tRNA from 1 species
AUCCGGUGAUAGCAUAUGCUUCCGAUGUAAGCUUUCUUUCAGAAAGCUUUAAGGUGAACGCUUCGCUUCUCCAGAUUC